GCAUAGCUCAGUUGGUUAGAGUGUGAUGCUGAUAACACCAAGCUUGUAGGUUCAAUCGCUGUGUGGGACA